AUAUUGGGCAAUGGAGGGAACUCUGACCCAGCAACGCCGCGUGAGUGAAGAAGGUUUUCGGAUUGUAAAACUCUUUAAGCGGGGACGAAGAAAGUGACUGUACCCGCAGAAUAAGCAUCCGCUAACUACGUGCCAGCAGCCGCGGUAAUACGUAGGAUGCAAGCGUUAUCCGGAAUGACUGGGCGUAAAGGGUGCGUAGGUGGUUUGCCAAGUUGGCAGCGUAAUUCCGUGGCUUAACCGCGGAACUACUGCCAAAACUGGUAGGCUUGAGUGCGGCAGGGGUAUGUGGAAUUCCUAGUGUAGCGGUGGAAUGCGUAGAUAUUAGGAGGAACACCGGUGGCGAAAGCGACAUACUGGGCCGUAACUGACACUGAGGCACGAAAGCGUGGGGAGCAAACAG
rnacentral:rRNA from 1 species